AAGGCUCUGCAGUGUUCGUGUAGGAGUUGAUAUCUUUGUAACCUAGAAGUGUUAUCCGGGAACUUAUAUUUGUCUUCUCUCGUCUUUACGUACAGUAAAGAGAGGCUGACAAUCGGUGCCCCCCUUGAAAAAGGGUCACAAGAUAGCUCUUCUCACGGCACAAGGUGGAGCCUUU
rnacentral:other from 1 species